rnacentral:rRNA from 1 species
GACGAAUGCUGGCUGCGUGCUUAACACAUGCAAGUCGAACGGUGAACAGGGGCUUGCCCCUGGGAUCAGUGGCGAACGGGUGAGUAACACGUGGGCAACCUGCCCCUCACUCUGGGGAUAACUCCGGGAAACCGGGGCUAAUACCGGAUACGACCAGGCACGACAUCGGGUCUGGUGGAAAGAACUUCGGUGAGGGAUGGGCCCGCGGCCUAUCAGCUUGUUGGUGAGGUAAUGGCUCACCAAGGCGACGACGGGUAGCCGGCCUGAGAGGGCGACCGGCCACACUGGGACUGAGACACGGCCCAGACUCCUACGGGAGGCAGCAGUGGGGAAUAUUGCGCAAUGGGCGAAAGCCUGACGCAGCGACGCAGCGUGAGGGACGAAGGGCCUUCGGGUUGUAAACCUCUUUCAGCGGGGACGAAGCGAAAGUGACGGUACCCGCAGAAGAAGCACCGGCUAACUACGUGCCAGCAGCCGCGGUAAU